rnacentral:tRNA from 6 species
GCGGGUGUAGUUCAAUGGUAGAACAUCAGCUUCCCAAGCUGAAUACGGGGGUUCGAUUCCCCUCACCCGCUCCA